GAUGAACGCUGGCGGCAUGCCUAAUACAUGCAAGUCGAACGAGAGGAAGGAAAGCUUGCUUUUCUGAAUCUAGUGGCGAACGGGUGAGUAACACGUAGGUAACCUGCCCAUGUGCCCGGGAUAAUUUCUGGAAACGGAUGCUAAAACCGGAUAGGUAGCAGACAAGCAUUUGACUGCUAUUAAAGUGGCUAAGGCCAUGAACAUGGAUGGACCUGCGGUGCAUUAGCUAGUUGGUGAGGUAACGGCCCACCAAGGCGACGAUGCAUAGCCGGCCUGAGAGGGCGGACGGCCACAUUGGGUCUGAGACACGGCCCAAACUCCUACGGGAGGCAGCAGUAGGGAAUUUUCGUCAAUGGGGGGAACCCUGAAUGAGCAAUGCCGCGUGAGUGAGGAAGGUCUUCGGAUCGUAAAGCUCUGUUGUAAGAGAAAAACGACAUUCAUAGGGAAUGAUGAGUGAGUGAUGGUAUCUUACCAGAAAGUCACGGCUAACUACGUGCCAGCCGCCGCCGUAACAC
rnacentral:rRNA from 1 species